rnacentral:rRNA from 1 species
GGAAUAUUGGACAAUGGCCGGAAGGCUGAUCCAGCCAUGCCGCGUGAAGGACUAAGGCCCUACGGGUCGUAAACUUCUUUUGGCGCAGAGCAAUAAGGACUACGCGUAGUCCGAUGAGAGUAUGCGUCGAAUAAGCAUCGGCUAACUCCGUGCCAGCAGCCGCGGUAAUACGGAGGAUGCGAGCGUUAUCCGGAUUUAUUGGGUUUAAAGGGUGCGUAGGCGGAUGAUUAAGUCAGCGGUGAAAUGUUCCGGCUCAACCGGGGAGCUGCCGUUGAUACUGGUUAUCUGGAAUGCUCCUGCCGUGGGAGGAAUGUGUGGUGUAGCGGUGAAAUGCAUAGAUAUCACACAGAACACCGAUUGCGAAGGCAUCUCACGAAGGGGUGAUUGACGCUGAGGCACGAAAGCGUGGGGAUCGAACA